UUCAAAUUAAAGAAAUCGAACCGAUUUAUCCAAAUUUUGAAAACUCAGGGUCAUAAUCGUAAAUUCAGAUGCUGAUUUGUUUCGAAAAAAUCACAUAAAUAGCUGUGGGCCUCUCUGCUCUCUAUUUCGCAACGGUAACUUUUCUCCUCCCACAAAUAAACGGUCAGUGAGAGUUGAAAUUUCAAAAUUCAAUUCUUCAAAUCCUCUUUGAAGAAAAAACGAGUUAGGGUUUUAUGGAGAAGCGAUUAUUGUUUUUCUAUCUUCUUCUGAUUCUUUUCUCCGAUCAAUUGAAUUACGUCGUCAAUGGCGUCUCUGAUUCGUUGGGUCAAUUCAAAUCGAGAACCUAGGGUUUUGAUUUUGGAUCGAUGAGAAUCUGACUGAUUGAUACAAGGAUUAAAACUUUUCUAUUGGUUUGAAUUCGGAUCGUGUGAUAGUCCUACCAAAUCGAAGAAGGCAACCAAGUGGCAAUUCAUAUCUCAAUUUGGAGAAGAAAUGAGGGGUCGUUUCUCCUGCCUCAUGCAGAUAAUUUUGAGGUCUGAUUUUGUAGCCAAGAGCAUAUGAGAGUUUCGUACUUUGAUGAUAUUCCAAAAGAGAAAUUCAAAGCCACUACAAACAAAAGCGGUGUCCUGCAUACGAAAUUUAUUUAGAUAUCAGAUAUGUUUCUUCCAUGCUUCCAUGUGAAGGGAAGAUCCGUGACUUUUCAGGUGAAAUAGCUCUCUUCUUUUUAUCAUUUACAUUGCUUUAUACAAAUUUCUUAUCAAUACAUACUUCACUAAUAAAAACCAAUCGCAAAAACUGAUUUUUAUCAUAAUUAAUAAACAUGUUCAAUAUUUUAGCUGUGGACAUUGUUUCCUUGUCAAGAUUAACAGAAACAACAGGUGCUAGCAAAGCAGUCGAAUCCCGACUUGGAUCAGACUUCAAAAGACCAUUUCCAGUAAGUUUCUUCAUAAGCAUUAUUUUUGUUGUUUAAUUUUACAGUCUUAUGUACUUAGUAACUGCUAUUAGAAUGGUUUUGUAUCAAGAUGGAGGAUUCUUAAGCUGGAAAUAACUAAACUUAGGAGAGUGAUUCAGUUGCCUCGGAAAAAGAAAGGAUCAAGUAGAUAAACUAUCUUCAUCUCUUCUCUGAGUUUUUGUAGUUUUUUUAUGGUCUUGUGUAUACUGCUAACAUAAUGGUUUUGUACCAAGAUGGAAGAUUUUUAAGCGCAAAAGAACCAAAUUUAAGAAAGCCAUUCAGUCUCCCCGAAAGAAGAAGGGUCAGCUUGCAGGAACUAAAAAAGCAUAUCAUAGUUCUCUACUAGAUCUCGAUUUCCAAGGUACAGUACUAACGAAGUCAGGGAUUGUAUCUUAGUUGUUUUAGAUUCUUUUGCAUAUGAGACGACCAAAUAUAUUCUUCAGUCAUAAGGUGACUAAAUUCUUCAUCUCUUCAUACAAAACAUGACAUUCUCUUGUUGUCAUGUAUAUUAUUUCAGAUUAGCUACAUUCAUCUUUUACUCUAUGAUGUUUUCUUACAUAGUUUCAUAUUGUUUUACUGGUCUCUAACGUGUUAAUUCUUAGUGCCAUUAGUAACAAGAAGCCAUUUACAAAGUCUACAGUGACAAAAUAUGUGUGGAAGUCGAAACUAACACAAUCGAGAUUUGUCUAUGGUUUUU